UCGUGGUGCGAGGAUGUGGCCGCUGUCUUCUGACCCAGGAAAACAGCCCGAGGACGGUGCGAGGAUGUGGCUGCUGUCUUCUGACCCAGGAAAACAGCCCGAGGACAAGGCCAAGAGGUGAAUUCUUGCCGUCUUCCCUGCACAAUUUGUUUGCGCCAUCAGAGAGAAGAUACUGCAUGCAAGAAAAAAGAACAGAGUGAAACAAAAAAGGAGCAUUCUGAAGCCAAAAUGAAAUUCUUGGAAA